rnacentral:rRNA from 13 species
AUGAGUAACGAUAAUGCGAGUGAAAAACUCGCACGCCGAAAGACCAAGGGUUCCUGUCCAACGUUAAUCGGGGCAGGGUGAGUCGGCCCCUAAGGCGAGGCUGAAAAGCGUAGUCGAUGGGAAACGGGUUAAUAUUCCCGUACCUUGGAUAGCUGCGAUGGAGAGACGGAGAAGGCUAGGUGAGCCGGGCGACGGUUGUCCCGGUUUAAGCGAGUAGGGAGUGGACUUAGGCAAAUCCGGGUCCACAAUCUCGAGACGCGACGACGACUGCUCUUAGAGCGGGAAGUCAUUGAUGCCAUGCUUCCAGGAAAAUCUUCUAAGCUUCAGGCUAUUCGAGACCGUACCCCAAACCGACACAGGUGGUCAGGUAGAGAAUACCAAGGCGCUUGAGAGAACUCGGGUAAAGGAACUAGGCAAAAUGGUGCCGUAACUUCGGGAGAAGGCACGCUGGU